rnacentral:pre_miRNA from 9 species
UCUCGACAGCGUUAAAGGUUAACAUAAAUUUGUAUGCAGUUGGAACGUUUACUCACGUUUGCCGCUAGGGGCGCUGUUCGUACUCCAUACAAAUUUAAGUUAACUCUUACGCUGUCGA